GGCCCCUUAGCUCAGUGGUUAGAGCAGGCGACUCAUAAUCGCUUGGUCGUUGGUUCAAACCCAACAGGGGGCCACCA
rnacentral:tRNA from 1 species